UACAGAGGUCCCAAGCGUUGUUCGGAUUCAUUGGGCGUAAAGGGUGCGUAGGCGGCGCGGUAAGUCGGGUGUGAAAUCUCGGAGCUUAACUCCGAAACUGCAUUCGAUACUGCCGUGCUUGAGGACUGGAGAGGAGACUGGAAUUUACGGUGUAGCGGUGAAAUGCGUAGAUAUCGUAAGGAAGACCAGUGGCGAAGGCGGGUCUCUGGACAGUUCCUGACGCUGAGGCACGAAGGCUAGGGGGGCAAACGGG
rnacentral:rRNA from 1 species